rnacentral:rRNA from 1 species
AGAGAGAGACAUGCGCGCAUAUCAAUAAGCGGAGGAAAAGAAACUAACAAGGAUUCCCCUAGUAACGGCGAGUGAAGCGGGAAGAGCUCAAAUUUGAAAUCUUAAAGGGUUUCCCUUUACGAAUUGUAGUUUAAAGAAGUGUUUUCUGUUGAGGUUUUGGUAAAAGUUCUUUGGAAUAGGACAUCAUAGAGGGUGAGAAUCCCGUAUUUGACCAUUUACUUUCAGCUUUGUGAUACACUUUCAAAGAGUCGGAUUGUUUGGGAAUGCAGUCCAAAAUGGGUGGUAAAUUUCAUCUAAAGCUAAAUAUUGGCGAGAGACCGAUAGCGAACAAGUACCGUGAGGGAAAGAUGAAAAGAACUUUGAAAAGAGAGUUAAACAGUACGUGAAAUUGUCAAAAGGGAAGCGUUUGACACCAGUGUUGUUUUUCUGAAAAUCAAUUAAAGAACUGUUUAUGCUAAGUUGUUUAGACUUUAUCAGCUAACUGUUUAGUUUUGAGCUUUUCUUUAAUGCACUUUUCAGUUAACAAGUCAACAUCAAUUUCUUUUGCUGUAAAAAAGCUUGAGGAAGGUGGCUUGAGAUUCGUCUUAAGUGUUUAUAGCCUCUUGCCUAUGCAGUCGGAGAGAUUGAGGUCUGCAGCGUAGAUCCUUCGGGGCUAAAUGCAUUUGUGCUAAGUUAUAGCAUUUUAUAGAGCAACUUGUUGACUAUGAUUUGUCUUGUAGCUUACUCGCUUAUGUUAUUUUACCUACGCUUAGGAUGUUGAGCGCAUGUCUCUCUCU